rnacentral:rRNA from 6 species
CUGGAGGUAUCAGAAGUGCGAAUGCUGACAUAAGUAACGAUAAAGCGGGUGAAAAGCCCGCUCGCCGGAAGACCAAGGGUUCCUGUCCAACGUUAAUCGGGGCAGGGUGAGUCGACCCCUAAGGCGAGGCCGAAAGGCGUAGUCGAUGGGAAACGGGUUAAUAUUCCCGUACUUGGUGUUACUGCGAAGGGGGGACGGAGAAGGCUAUGUUGGCCGGGCGACGGUUGUCCCGGUUUAAGCGUGUAGGUGUGUGUUCCAGGUAAAUCCGGUUCACUUUAACACUGAGGCGUGACGACGAGGCACUACGGUGCUGAAGCAACAAAUGCCCUGCUUCCAGGAAAA